AACGAGCGCUGGCGGCAGGCCUAACACAUGCAAGUCGAACGCUCCGCAAGGGGAGUGGCGCACGGGUGAGUAACACGUGGGAACCUACCUUCUGGUACGGAACAACCAAGGGAAACUUUGGCUAAGACCGUAUACGACCUCCGGGUGAAAGAUUGAUCGCCGGAAGAGGGGCCCGCGUCCGAUUAGGUAGUUGGUGAGGUAACGGCUCACCAAGCCUUCGAUCGGUAGCUGGUCUGAGAGGAUGACCAGCCACACUGGGACUGAGACACGGCCCAGACUCCUACGGGAGGCAGCAGUGGGGAAUAUUGGACAAUGGGCGCAAGCCUGAUCCAGCCAUGCUGCGUGAGUGAU
rnacentral:rRNA from 1 species